AGUGAACGCUGGCGGUAGGCCUAACACAUGCAAGUCGAACGGCAGCACAGUAAGAGCUUGCUCUUACGGGUGGCGAGUGGCGGACGGGUGAGGAAUACAUCGGAAUCUACUUUUUCGUGGGGGAUAACGUAGGGAAACUUACGCUAAUACCGCAUACGACCUACGGGUGAAAGCAGGGGAUCUUCGGACCUUGCGCGAUUGAAUGAGCCGAUGGCGGAUUAGCUAGUUGGCGGGGUAAAGGCCCACCAAGGCGACGAUCCGUAGCUGGUCUGAGAGGAGGAUCAGCCACAAUGGGACUGAGACACGGUCCAGACUCCUACGGGAGGCAGCAGUGGGGACUAUUGCACAAUGGGCGCAAGCCUGAUGCAGCCAUGCCGCGUGUAUGAAGAAGGCCUUCGGGUUGUAAAGUACUUUCAGCGGGGAGGAAGGGAGUAAAGUUAAUACCUUUGCUCAUUGACGUUACCCGCAGAAGAAGCACCGGCUAACUCCGUG
rnacentral:rRNA from 1 species